AUUGAACGCUGGCGGCAUGCCUUACACAUGCAAGUCGAACGGUAACAGGUCUUCGGAUGCUGACGAGUGGCGAACGGGUGAGUAAUACAUCGGAACGUGCCCGAUCGUGGGGGAUAACGGAGCGAAAGCUUUGCUAAUACCGCAUACGAUCUACGGAUGAAAGCAGGGGACCGCAAGGCCUUGCGCGAACGGAGCGGCCGAUGGCAGAUUAGGUAGUUGGUGGGAUAAAAGCUUACCAAGCCGACGAUCUGUAGCUGGUCUGAGAGGACGACCAGCCACACUGGGACUGAGACACGGCCCAGACUCCUACGGGAGGCAGCAGUGGGGAAUUCUGGACAAUGGGCGCAAGCCUGAUCCAGCAAUGCCGCGUGCAGGAUGAAGGCCUUCGGGUUGUAAACUGCUUUUGUACGGAACGAAAAGGCUCUGGUUAAUACCUGGGGCUCAUGACGGUACCGUAAGAAUAAGCACCGGCUAACUACAUGCCAGCAGCCGCGGUAAGAC
rnacentral:rRNA from 1 species